GAUGAAGAACGUAGUGAAAUGCGAUACGUAAUGUGAAUUGCAGAAUUCAGUGAAUCAUCGAGUCUUUGAACGCACAUUGCGCCCCCUGGUAUUCCGGGGGGCAUGCCUGUCCGAGCGUCAUUGCUGCCCUCAAGCACGGCUUGUGUGUUGGGCUCCGUCCCCCCGGGGACGGGCCCGAAAGGCAGCGGCGGCACCGAGUCCGGUCCUCGAGCGUAUGGGGCUUUGUCACCCGCUCUGUAGGCCCGGCCGGCGCCAGCCGACAACCCAUCAUCCUUUUCAGGUUGACCUCGGAUCAGGUAGGGAUACCCGCUGAACUUAAGCAUAUCAAUAAGCGGAGGA
rnacentral:misc_RNA from 1 species